rnacentral:rRNA from 1 species
GACGAACGCUGGCGGGAUGCUUUACACAUGCAAGUCGAACGAGUGGCGGACGGGUGAGUAAUAUAUCGGAACGUGCCCAGUAGCGGGGGAUAACUACUGGAAAGAGUGGCUAAUACCGCAUACUAUUGGAGCGGCCGAUAGCGGCUUAGCUAGUUGGGGGGGUAAAGGCGCACAAAGGCCACGAUCCGUAGCUGGUUUGAGAGGACGACCAGCCACACUGGGACUGAGACACGACCCAGACUCCUACGGGAGGCAGCAGGGGGGAAUUUUGGACAAUGGGGGAAAGCCUGAUCCAGCCAUCCCGCGUGUAUGAGAAGGUCUUCGGAUUGUAAAGAACUUUAAGUGGGGAGGCGUUACCAACAGAAUAAGCACCGGCUAACUUCGUGCCAGCAGCCGCGGUAAUUC